GACCUCGGAUCAGGUAGGGAUACCCGCUGAACUUAAGCAUAUCAAUAAGCGGAGGAAAAGAAACCAACAGGGAUUGCCUCAGUAACGGCGAGUGAAGCGGCAAGAGCUCAAAUUUGAAAUCUGGCAUCCACCGGGUGUCCGAGUUGUAAUUUGGAGAGGCAUCUUCCUGGUUAGGCGCUUGCCUAUGUUCCUUGGAACAGGACGUCGCAGAGGGUGAGAAUCCCGUGCACGGCAAGCCCGCCUAUACCGCUGUGAAGCGCCUUCGAAGAGUCGAGUUGUUUGGGAAUGCAGCUCAAAAUGGGUGGUAAAUUUCAUCUAAAGCUAAAUACCGGCGAGAGACCGAUAGCGCACAAGUAGAGUGAUCGAAAGAUGAAAAGCACUUUGAAAAGAGAGUUAAAAAGUACGUGAAAUUGUUGAAAGGGAAGCGCUUGAGACCAGACUCGGGCCUCGGUGAUCAGCGGUCCUUCUGGGCCGUGCACUCGCCUUGGCUUCGGGCCAGCAUCGGUUGGGCUGGCGGGAUAAAGGCCCCGGGAAUGUGGCUCCUCUCGGGGAGUGUUAUAGCCCUGGGCGCAAUGCCGCCAAUGACUCCGACCGAGGAACGCGCCUUCACCGGCACGGAUGCUGGCGUAAUGGUCUUCAGCGACCCGUCUUGAAACACGGACCAAGGAGUCUAACAUCUAUGCGAGUGUUUGGGUGAGAAAAACCCUUGCGCGGAAUG
rnacentral:rRNA from 1 species